GCGCAAUUUGGGAUCCCUUAACUUUAGAUGUACGGUUCAAUGCAGUAUCUUUGUAUCGACAGCGGAAAGUGGCCAAUUAGUUAGUUAAUUGCAGGCAUGGCUCGCGCUGUUUGUAAAAAUUUGGACAUCCCUCGUAUUACGAGUUUUCCUACUGCACAUAAUGCCUACAUUUAUGCAGAUUACGUGGAACCGCAAUGCAUUAUCUUAAGAUUUCAUUGCGUCAUCUAAAAAAGAGAGGAGUCGUUACCGCGCUCUCGCGACAGUACAUACGAUGGGCGAAAUAAAUUUGUGCAUUUGUGAAACAAUUUGGAUUAUAAAUAUGUCGUUUGGGAUUUUUGGCAAAUAAGGAGUCAUGCAUUAGCAAAGGUAAUAAAUAAGCUCUUCAAAUCGGACUGUAUACGAUAUUACAUAUUUUUCUUUUUUCUAAUUUCAUACCUACGCCUACGAUUUUAUUAAGGGGCCGCCAGUGGAAAUAUACGGAUCGAAUCCCUAUAAAAAACAUCCAUACCUACAUAAGCCUUUUCUAUGGAAUUCUUCAGUGUGAACGGCGUUAACAGACGUACCAGAAUGUUUAAAUACGAAUUUUGGAACUACGGCCAGGCGGCGAUGGGGCGGACAAUUGCGGACUCCUUUUGGUGAAUAAGGGAUUAAAUUUCAACCUCGUAUGUCCGGUCAAUGAAACAUUUUUGCAACCGACGCGUUUGGGCAAACGUUUGGGUAUAAUUAUAAAAAGAACCAGAACUAUUGCGAAGCGGCACUUGUGGAUCGUGUGUCGAAAAUUUCCUUUACGAGGUAGAGCAUUCCAAAAUUUUGUGUGGAUAUUUGUUUGAAAAUAAACAACAUUUUUGUGUGUUUUUAUAACCCUCCAACUGACUGCUGCAAUGAUGAUCAAACUAGUGAGUUCUAUUCUAGACCACCUGAAAAUGCAUUGCGCUAGGUCCGAAAUUAAUCAUCACUAACGUAUUUUUCGAAAGUACCAGUUUGAUUUCGAUUGCAGGCUGGGGUUCUUGUCAAUGACUUUUUAGCCUCCCAUUUGGCAUUUGACAUUCAAUUCUAGUACUUUUUUGUUCUAAGGGCGUUAGUUAAGUGUGAUUUAGAGUCGGUCCUCCAGUAACUUUUCUAGGGAUUUUAUAUUAGUGCGAUUUCACUAUCAUAUUUUUGGAAAGUUUGGAUGUACGUCACUAGCUAAAUUAAUAUAACUCUAGCAUUCCUCACAAAUUUGUCGUGUUGGAUUAUAAUAUGUUCUAGUAUUCGCAGUUUACUUAAACUAGCGUCAACUAAUUUCAUUUUAAGGAGAUCGAAUGCUUGGGGAAAACUGUUUAUGUGUGUUGUAAUUGAGCUUUGUAUCGAUUGCAAAGUCUGAGAGUCCUCCAUCUCUCGUUAUAUAGGAUCGAUUCUAAAUCAAAAAGUCACCAGAAAGGUAACUAGGUUUGAAACUCUGUCAGGACUGAUCCUAAAGUAACUACGUUUGAAACUCUACUGCGAGAGUUCGAAUAUUUGCAGCGAUAGAUUGCGGCGCACGAUUCUUGUCUGAUGUCUCCGCGAUUGUUUGAAAUAUACUAUCCACAAACGGUUUCUUAAUAUUAUUCUUAACACAUACAGUCCCCACCACUAGCACAUUUGCAAUCGACCGCAUAGUAUUGAGCUGUCGAUCCUUUGACGUUAACGACAUUUAGCGGCAGUGGCUCACACCUAGAGUUCAAUGACGUCCAACAUAUUACGGCUACCGAUCAAGGUUAACCACCUGCAGCGCUAGAGAACACUGACUUCCAUUAGAGGCCAAUGCUAUCCAACUUGAGGAUAACGACAUUUAGUUUUCGAGGCUAUUGACUCAGAAUAGAGAUCAAUGACACUUAACACUAUUGUCUCAUACUUUGAGACCAACAACCUUUUAAUUUCAGAGGUCGCUUCCCUCUUAGAUCAAUACCCACAACACUAGCGGCCAAUCUGAGUUGACAGCCUUAUUCAUACAGAUUAAAAGAUUGCGACGUAGAGCUCCGAUUGCAACACCGACGAACUUCCACAGUAACAAAAUCCUGUAGGUAUACAAGAGAGCCCUAGCUAUUCGCUAUGGCCCCUCUAACACAAAAAGUUCCGAAGGCAUUCGGUAAGCAUCGUGAGAGCUCAAGGUUAGCUUUCCAGGCUAUUAACUCACAAUUGUAGUCAAUUACACUACCGUAUUUUGAAGACAUCAAACUUUAGCUCCAGAAGUCCUGCUUCUCCAACAAUUGCAGUCAAAGUGGUCAAUGACACACUCCCACUAAAAUGGCGCGAAUGUCCCGAGUUCAGUUCCCAUUAACACGAGGAGGAAACAUACCAUUCCGCUAUACACACGCCCUAAAAUCAAUAACACACAACAGACACAUAUCUA